UAUAGAGGUCCCGAGCGUUGUUCGGAUUUAUUGGGCGUAAAGGGUGCGUAGGCGGCGGAGUAAGUUGGGUGUGAAAUCCCGGGGCUCAACCUCGGAAUUGCAUUCAAUACUGCUUCGCUCGAGUACUGGAGAGGAGGCUGGAAUUUACGGUGUAGCAGUGAAAUGCGUAGAUAUCGUAAGGAAGGCCGGUGGCGAAAGCGAGCCUCUGGACAGUUACUGACGCUGAUGCACGAAGGCCAGGGGAGCAAACGGG
rnacentral:rRNA from 1 species